AGCAGCCGCGGUAAUUCCAGCUCCAAUAGCGUAUAUUAAAGUUGUUGCAGUUAAAAAAGCUCGUAGUUGAAUUUCGGGAUCAAUAUUUCGGUCAUGCCGUUGGUAUGCACUGUUAUCAUUGAUUUCUCACCUUCUAAAGAACCGUAAUGCCAUUAAUUUGGUGUUACGGGGAAUUAGGACUGUUACCUUGAAAAAAAUUAGAGUGUUUAAAGCAGGCUCACGCUUGAAUACAUUAGCAUGGAAUAAUGAAAUAGGACAUCCGAUUCUAUUUUGUUGGUUUCUAGGAUCGAUGUAAUGAUUAAUAGGGAUAGUUGGGGGCAUUAGUAUUCAAUUGUCAGAGGUGAAAUUCUUGGAUUUAUUGAAGACUAACUACUGCGAAAGCAUUUGCCAAGGAUGUUUUCAUUAAUCAAGAACGAAAGUUAGGGGAUCGAAGACGAUCAGAUACCGUCGUAGUCUUAACCAUAAACUAUGCCGACUAGGGAUCGGAGUGAUAGUUAAUUUUUUAAUGUACUCU
rnacentral:rRNA from 1 species